GACGAACGCUGGCGGCGUGCUUAACGCAUGCAAGUCGAACGGAAAGGCCCUGCUUUUGUGGGGUGCUCGAGUGGCGAACGGGUGAGUAACACGUGAGUAACCUGCCCUUGACUUUGGGAUAACUUCAGGAAACUGGGGCUAAUACCGGAUAGGAGCUCCUGCUGCAUGGUGGGGGUUGGAAAGUUUCGGCGGUUGGGGAUGGACUCGCGGCUUAUCAGCUUGUUGGUGGGGUAGUGGCUUACCAAGGCUUCGACGGGUAGCCGGCCUGAGAGGGUGACCGGCCACAUUGGGACUGAGAUACGGCCCAGACUCCUACGGGAGGCAGCAGUGGGGAAUAUUGCACAAUGGGCGGAAGCCUGAUGCAGCAACGCCGCGUGCGGGAUAACGGCCUUCGUGUUGUAAACCGCUUUCGCCUGUGACGAAGCGUGAGUGACGGUAAUGGGUAAAGAAGCACCGGCUAACUACGUG
rnacentral:rRNA from 1 species